rnacentral:lncRNA from 1 species
UUUUUUUUUUGGUUUUUGGUUUUUGUUUGUUUGCUUUGUUUUUUUCUGACUUCUUUUGGAUAAACUUGUUUUCUUGUUUUAGGACGCUCCCUGAGGUUUAUAAUAAACAUCUUUAACUCAGAGGAAACUAACUUUAAGUGAUAAUUUUACCUUUUCUCAUGAACCACAAGAACCUCACAGUCCUUGAUUUUCAUCUCUCCUCUUGGUUUUUAUACAGUCCUUACACCGGCUGCUUCCACAUACGCUACAACUCUGCAUCCUUCCUCUGUUCAUAUUACAUUGUAAAAUUCCCGGGAGAUGUCUGAGUCUGACGGCAGGACUUUCUCACCUUUAUGUCUAAGCAAAUUUUCAGGUGUUCUUCAUGUGUGCCUGAAGGACUCCUGGGACUCCUUCUACAAAUGCAAGACAGGGUCUUGUUAUGAAUGAAGCCCAAGUUAGUCCUACCAUCGAGACCCUCCCUUCUCAGCUCCCAUCCCACUAGACUACAGCCAUAUGUAAUGGGUGUGGUUUACAGGGAUCAAUGUUUUGCCUUUGUUGCUGGGAGUAGAACCCAGAGCUUCUGGCACCAUGGAACAGGUUCUUUUAGCAUCCAUACUGAGGAAAGGAUCUUCACAGCUCUUUUUCCUGUUGACCUCAGCACAUCCUGAACAUGGCAACUCGACUCUCUGUAUCUUAAUUUUCUGUUUAUUUGGAUCAACUUUAGCCGUGGGCUCUUGCAAGCAUUAAUGAAUUGGCAAUCUGAAGCCGCUCAUAACUUGAGAAGAUGAUGAUCUAGGCUUUAUUCCUUAGGGCAGUAGUACUGCUGGAUGGUCAGUGUGUUUUCUCAGAAUUAGAAAAGAGCAGAUGACUGUAGGUUUUGAAUGGCCAGGAUCUCUUCCAUCUGAUGAUGAAUAAGGCUACCAUUUACCCUGAGAAGUCUCAGGGAAUUAAGGCCUGGGCACUAGAGGCUAGACUUUAAUCAUCCCUGGCUGAGUGACACUUUCCAAGAUGAUGGAACUCUUGUACAA